CCGAGUGGGCUGUCCAUUCAAGAAGACUCAGUGAGGUGUUCCGGGCACGUUCCCACCGGUGGAGUGACGUCCGUCUGCCGACUGGCGUGUGAACACCUCGGGAUCCCCCUGGGAAAAGCUGGAUGAAGUGACUGGGGAGAAGGAAUUGAACAGGGCUGAGGGUGGAGCUUUGAGCAGUUCCCAAGCCUUUGACAUUGGAACAUUUUCUAUUGGAUGAGAAAUCAAAUGAGGCUGAGGGUGGAGCUUUGAGCAGUUCCCAAGCCUUUGACAUUGGAACCUGUUCUACUGCACGAGGUAA